UGCCAUCCUAUGGAGAGAGCAUGUGUGAGUUAGCCUUCCAACUCCAGGCUGACCACUCACUGAGCUCGAGGCAGAGGCUGCUCAGAAAUGUGAUUCCAGCCUCUCAGCAGGGAGCAGAGCACAGGCAGACAUGGGUCUGCUCCCGGACUCGGGUGACACUCUGGAUAACCCUGACCCACUCCUCCACUGUGUCCGGGUGUCUCUGAACCACCCAAAUGAGUGACGCUUGGCUUCUGUGCUGCCUGAAGAAACACACACCUCUGACCCUACCACAGUGUGUGCUGACUUCAGGGAACAGACGACUUCGGGUAACGUGUCUCCCAGGAUCCACACCCUGGAGAAGAACCAGCCAUGCAGCUCCUGGGGUGGCCCAGCUGCCUUCCUCCCACCUUGAACCCACAGCCCGAGGACGACAUGAGGCUGGGACCUGGCACAGGAGGAUGGCAGUGAGAGCAAGGCUGGGGAGGCCAGAGCCAGGACCGAGGCCUGUGCUGCUGAACAAAAUCAAGUGACAGGUGCGAGCACCAGACAAGGCACAGAAGGUGCUGGGCAGGGACUUGUGUGCAUCCACACAACUGUCAACGCGAGUGAGAAAAGCUUGGCCUCCCAUGGCCCAGUCUCUGCUGGCCUCCUUAGGAGACUGGCUCAUGUCACUCACAUGCUGCCAAUAGUUUAUUUUCAACAAUUAUUCCAAGAUGUAAAAAGAGAACUUUGCCAAUGGACAGGGCUAUAAGGAGAGGCUGAGAACAAUGAAGAACAGGCCUGGGUGACUGGAGGCUUCGAGUGAAUUGCCCUCAACCCAGUAAGGAAAGCCCUGGAGAUGACAGAACGCUCAGAAUUCCAGGAAGAAGAAACGACCAGGAGCAUCAUCAAAUCCCACCACUUGGCACUGAGCAGUCUGUCCUGCCUCCCUGCGUGGGGCGAGGGUGAAGAGGCAGCGGGCGCCAGCAGCACGGCCUGACUGCACCAUGGCCGCCACCGCUCACCUGGUGUGGUUGUCCUUCUCUGGGACCCCGGAGAUCUUUUUCUCCGGCUCAUCCAGCCCCUCUGAGGUCUCCAGUUCCGCUGACAUGGCUGCUGCUCUCACGCCUCUGGUCCUGCGGAGACACAGGAGCAGGGGAUGUGGCGCCCGUGGCAGUCACUCCCCAGGCGCCUGCCAGUUCUGCUCGCCCCUGAGCAACACCACCAGGAGGCGCCACAGGCCUCAGGGACGUUUUCAUAAAAAUAAAGCUCUGCC